GAAAUCUCUAUCUGCAUCCAGGAAGGUUUGGGCUGCCUUCUCAGCUUAGACCUACUUCUUGCUUCAGCAUUUCAGUGAACACACCGAUGCAGCAAUCAAGAGAUUGCUGCCCAUCAAUGCCUUUUGCCUACUAAUCUCUGCAGGUCCUGUGAAUCCUCCCAGGUGCCCUGUAGGCACUGCGGCCUCUUGGCAUUAGGAUGCUGUCACGCACAUCUACAUAAGGACUCGAAGCUGGCCUGGUGCCAAAAAGAAAAAAGAAAAAGAAAAAAAAAAGUCAAAUAGUUUGUGUCCUGCUUCAAAGCUCUGUUUUAUAGUGUUGCUAGAAGCCAGAUGAAUAACUUCCUUCUAUCAGAAGAAGGGAACAACUACCUCAAAACAGGAAAUGAGACACUAUCCCAAGAGAUAAAGCUACCAUAAUUCUGAGUGCCACAACCGUUGGAAGAUAUCAGGUACGUUGGGGCCUCCACCUGAAAAGGCAGAGCUGUGCCUAAGCUUACCCUUGAUAGAAAGGAAACCAACGGCAUGUCGUCUGCAGUCAAACAAAUCCCAGCGUGGAAAAGAAGAAGAUAAGGCAUUGGAAAACCACUGAUAACACCUCUUAUGAGAUCAUUCCACACCACUGUUUAAGAAAUCUUUGACGAUCUCCAAGUUGAGGCAGAUGGUGCCGUUCAGCAACAGCACAACCAGCCCGCACCAGUUUGUUGAUCUCCUCCAUGAAUCACAAAUCCCCGGACAUUGAUGAAGCCUGGGCAAACCUUCCCAAGCCCACCAGAUGUGCCGUGAAGUAGCCAGAGAAGCAAGUUACCCUGUGGUGAGAACUCUGUAUUUGAUGAGCGAUGGAAUCACAGUGCACACUCCUCAUUGUCCUUUGAAACAGAAGUGGGGUUCCCAGAACAAG